rnacentral:rRNA from 1 species
UACGAAGGGGGCUAGCGUUGUUCGGAAUUACUGGGCGUAAAGCGCACGUAGGCGGAUAUUUAAGUCAGGGGUGAAAUCCCGGGGCUCAACCCCGGAACUGCCUUUGAUACUGGGUAUCUAGAGUCCGGAGGAGGUGAGUGGAAUUCCGAGUGUAGAGGUGAAAUUCGUAGAUAUUCGGAGGAACACCAGUGGCGAAGGCGGCUCACUGGUCCGGUACUGACGCUGAGGUGCGAAAGCGUGGGGAGCAAACAGG